GCCAGUGGUGGAACUGCUAAGAGAAAGUAGAUCAGGAGCUGGAGAAUUUCCUGGCUUCUAAAAUUAUUUUUAUUAUUUUAAACAGGAGUAGGAGAAGGCCUAGCAUGUCCCAAUCCCUCAGCCAGUAACAAUGGAAUGUUUUAAUUCUCACUCAUCUUGAGAGGCUAGCUUGACAUAAAAAGAAAAAUUCUCCAGUCUCUUGGGCUGCAAAAAUAAUCGUCCCUGACACUAAAGUGUAGUGGUAAUGGCCAUCUGUAGUGGAGCUAUGGAGUGACCAUCUGUAGUGGAGAACUGAGAGAUUUGCAUAAUUCAUUAAAAAAUCAUUUUCUGCUAUCAUCUAAAACUGUAAGAAUCAAUAUUUUACAGUUAAUCUUUUUGGUUGAAGAAGUUUCUCUGCUGCAUUCUACCUCCUGCUGUCAAGAAGAAUUACUGUUUAUUCCAUUCCCACUCUCCAGUCCCUUUCUUGAAGAAACUUUUAUUUAAGAACUCCUGGCCGGGCGCGGUGGCUCAUGCCUAUAAUCCCAGCACUUUGGGAGGCCGAGGCGGGCGGAUCACGAAGUCAAGAGAUCGAGACCAUCCUGACCAACACGGUGAAACCCCGUCUCUACUAAAAAUAGAAAAAUUAGCCGGGUGUGGUGGCGGGUGCCUGUAGUCCCAGCUACUCGGGAGGCUGAGGCAGUAGAAUCAGAAUCGUUUGAAUCCAGGAGGCGGAGGUUGCCUGAGUCGAGAUCGCGCCACUGCACUCCAGCCUGGACGACAGAGCGAGAGUCGUCCAAAAAGAAACAACAACAACAACAACAAAACACAAAACAAAACAAAACGCUCUUAAAUACUCAGCUCAAAUUUCGAAUUCCAGGCAUCCGCACGUCCCAGGAAGAGCGCGCCUUCCAGCCUCGGGCGCAGUGAGGCGUGGAUCCGCGCCGGAACUCUCCAGGACUGCGCCGCAGACAGCGAAGGCCAGAGGCAGUUACAGCUGAGUUUAGGGAGGACAGAAGCGAAUUCCCGGACGCUUGCAGGAGCCGCCCGGCUCUACCUCCAGCCUUUCUCUCGGGACCUAGCGGGACUCUCCCAGGCUCGCCUCUUCCCGCUCGCGGGGGCGCACUUUCUCCGCCUGCGUCUGGGGCGGGGCGCCGCUGGGAGCAAAGCGCAGGUGGGCUGGGCGCGGCUUGAGUUUCGGGCGUGGCAGAGUGGCCGCGGGGUCUGGGGAAGAGUUGUCCUGGUCGCAGCGCCAGCCACCAGAGCGCGAGUCAGCGCGGCCAGGACUCUGCAGGGGCGGGUAGCGACCUUUGGAGACGCAACCUGGAGCGGCAGACUCGGCUGCCGGGGCGUGGGCCGGGGCCCGGCACAGGAGCGGCGGAGAUGCUGGAGGCGCUCCGAGGGUGUGGUCCCCUGGCCGUGCUGGGCUCAGAGCUGCUUGCUGAGCACGGUGCCCGGCAAAGGUGAUGGAACAAUCUCCAGGGCCUGA
rnacentral:lncRNA from 1 species